AGGAGUGAAGCUCAGUCAUUUCACAAACGCAGACAGCACUCGGGCUCCGUCUCUGUUCAGCACAAUGAGGCUUUCAUCCGCUCUCCUAUUGCUGGCUGCUGUUUCUUAUGUCCGAUCCAGUAUUGUACUGACCCAGUCCGGCGCGGCAGUCAAGAAACCGGGAGACUCUCAUGACUUGAAAUGUGCUGUCAGUGGGUUCACUCUCAGUAGCACUAAUAUGUACUGGAUUCGACAGGCUCCUGGAAAAGCACUAGAGUGGAUAGUUUACUAUUACUCACCUACUGACAAGAGCUAUGCCUCAGUCGUCCAAGGAAGAUUCACCGCCUCAAAGGACAGCUCCAAUUUCUACUUACACAUGACAAGCCUGAAAGCUGAAGACACAGCCGUGUAUUACUGUGCUCGGAGACACACUGAGAAGAACUCAUGCUGAACCCACACACAAACUAUGAAAGCAGGACUCCUUACACAGCAUUAGCAUUUUUCACAUUGUUUAAUAGGGUAGUGCACCCUUUGAAUAUGAAAAAUGUCAUGGUAAUAUAUAUUAUACAUUUCUGGUUACAAAAACAACACACCACCCGCUCUUGAAUGAAUGUAGGUCUGGCUGGUUGAUUGACAACAUUUUUUCAGGGAUUUUUGCAUCCUAUUUUCAUCGUCACCUACCUAAUUAAACUAAUAACGUGUGGAUUGACAGAUCUAUCAAACAUUCGGGGUCCCGGGGGUCCGUUUACCAAAAAAUAUACUUGAAUCAAACCAACAUGGUAAGGCCAUCGUAAAAUGAACGUAGCUCUUGAACGUCUGCUUGAGUUCAAGAGCGGUCUGAGGUAAUCGUGAAGUGUUCACAGGGCCGCCAAGAGCCGGAUUGAUAUGUCCCGCUCAGCACCCCUUCCCUCUCUCCCCCCCCCCUUAACAUCAUACGUUUUUAGCAUAAACUACAUUUUAAUGGUGUUGCUAUAGACUGUUUUAUUUAUCCCGUGCCAAAAAUAAACCACUCAUCUCUGCUCUUAACUAAUAGCCUGUAUUGGUAAAUAUGUUUGUAUUUUAAGCAAUAUAAUCGAUCAUUCUCUAAUUGUGUUUACCACCAGCUGAAGAAAGUACUUUAUUUAUUUUACACGAUACAAUUUUUCUAACAAUUUACUGCACCACGUUGUUUUGAGCAAAUUAUAGAUCUUAAUAAUAGAAUCAUUCAUACUGUUGAUAUAUAUUGUGCAACUUUAGGGUUCUUUAAAGUUUUUAAAAGUCUUUAAAAAAAAAAUACAUAAAAUUGUUAUGCCUUUUUUUCAGUUUUUUGGUGUAGUAAAAUAUGAAAUGCGAAAGUUCAAAUCAUUGAGUGAAAGGAAGUGUUUGACAGCGCCUGGAUACACAGUCAUUACACAACAGAAGCACAUCGGCUCGGUGUGCAGUACGGCAGUUUUUCUUUUUAAUGUGGUGGUGGGAACGCAAAGGGUCUUGUGCAGGGCUAGUUGUUUUAAAAUAU